rnacentral:rRNA from 1 species
UACGGGGGGAGCAAGCGUUGUCCGGAUUUACUGGGCGUAAAGGGCGCGUAGGCGGCCACCGCAAGUCGGUUGUGAAAUCUCUGGGCUUAACCCAGAAAGGUCAACCGAUACUGCGGGGCUAGAGUGCAGAAGGGGCAACUGGAAUUCUCGGUGUAGCGGUGAAAUGCGUAGAUAUCGAGAGGAACACCUGCGGCGAAGGCGGGUUGCUGGGCUGACACUGACGCUGAAGCGCGAAAGCUAGGGGAGCGAACGGG